UGGUAAUGCCGGAUGCUCCAGUUGAUCGCAUGGUCUUCUGGGAAAGCUUUCGCGGUAUGGGAUGGGGUCGCGUCCUAUCAGCUUGACGGCGGGGUAACGGCCCACCGUGGCUUCGACGGGUAGCCGGCCUGAGAGGGCGACCGGCCACAUUGGGACUGAGAUACGGCCCAGACUCCUACGGGAGGCAGCAGUGGGGAAUAUUGCACAAUGGGCGCAAGCCUGAUGCAGCGACGCCGCGUGAGGGAUGGAGGCCUUCGGGUUGUAAACCUCUUUUAUCGGGGAGCAAGCGAGAGUGAGUUUACCCGUUGAAUAAGCACCGGCUAACUACGUGCCAGCAGCCGCGGUAAUACGUAGGGUGCAAGCGUUAUCCGGAAUUAUUGGGCGUAAAGGGCUCGUAGGCGGUUCGUCGCGUCCGGUGUGAAAGUCCAUCGCUUAACGGUGGAUCCGCGCCGGGUACGGGCGGGCUUGAGUGCGGUAGGGGAGACUGGAAUUCCCGGUGUAACGGUGGAAUGUGUAGAUAU
rnacentral:rRNA from 4 species